GCUCAGGAUGAACGCUAGCUACAGGCUUAACACAUGCAAGUCGAGGGGUAGCAGGGUAGCAAUACCGCUGACGACCGGCGCACGGGUGAGUAACACGUAUCCAACCUUCCCAUAACUCGGGGAUAGCCUUUCGAAAGAAAGAUUAAUACCCGAUAGUACUUAUAUAAGGCAUCUUAAAUAAGUUAAAGAUUUAUUGGUUAUGGAUGGGGAUGCGUUCCAUUAGAUAGUUGGUGAGGUAACGGCUCACCAAGUCUUCGAUGGAUAGGGGUUCUGAGAGGAAGGUCCCCCACAUUGGUACUGAGACACGGACCAAACUCCUACGGGAGGCAGCAGUGAGGAAUAUUGGUCAAUGGGCGAGAGCCUGAACCAGCCAAGU
rnacentral:rRNA from 1 species